GGGAUCGCCCUUCCUACGGGAGGCAGCAGUGGGGAAUUUUGGACAAUGGGCGCAAGCCUGAUCCAGCCAUUCCGCGUGCAGGAUGAAGGCCUUUGUGUUGUAAACUGCUUUUGUACGGAACGAAAAGCCUUUCUCUAAUACAGGGAGGUCAUGACGGUACCGUAAGAAUAAGCACCGGCUAACUCCGUGCCAGCAGCCGCGGUAAUAAGGGCGAUCC
rnacentral:rRNA from 1 species